AUAGCUGGAACAUUGAUGAGUGCGGCGUAAAACUAAACUCACUCACUCAUUGCCGUAGUUCACUGUACAUGCUAUUCACAUCCCCCAAAACACUUCAAUGGUAACAUCUAUUUAUACAACGUAUGACACCCUGCGCCCGUUCUAUGAUUUCCAUGGCAACGACACAGUUGACGUCAUAACAUAGCAUGAUGACGUCAUCAUUGCAGCGAAGAAUGUGACGCCGUCAAGAUUGUAUUUACAUAGUACAUUUGUCGUAAUUCAAACUCAGGCAGUUGAUUCAUGUGGAACCAUUUUACAUGAAUACGUUGGACUGGAUAAUGUCUAUGGGGAAAUUACAGAAAGGCAGACUUUCAUGAAAUAACGGCUGUCAUUUAAAACAAACACAGCAAUGACCUCGUCGGAGAAGCCCACCAGUUCUCCCAUCACCAUAGCAAGAGAGGAUCUGAUAUGUCCUCUCUGCAGGCUGGAAUUCCGUGAACCCAAAAUGCUCCCAUGUUGUCACACAUUUUGCCGCAUGUGCAUCGCCACUGAGUGUGCUGUGCUGCACACUGACCAAUAUGUUUUCUGGUGUCCUACCUGCUACAGUGAAAGCGAGACCUAUGACGUCACAGGAUUCACUCUUCAACCUAACAUAUACAUCACUGGGCUCCAAGAGGUGAAAGCCUGUCGAAAAGUCGACAAGGAAUACUGUCUGGUUUGCUCUGUGAAAAGAAAGAAGUCAUCAGCUUCCUAUAAAUGUCUAGACUGUGGUGACAAGCUUUGCCAAGCUUGCAGUAAGGGUCACAACUCCUCAACAACCAC